UACGGGGGGGGCAAGGCGUUGUUCGGAAUUACUGGGCGUAAAGGGCUUGUAGGUGGCCAACUAAGUCAGACGUGAAAUCCCUCGGCUUAACCGGGGAACUGCGUCUGAUACUGGAUGGCUUGAGUUUGGGAGAGGGAUGCGGAAUUCCAGGUGUAGCGGUGAAAUGCGUAGAUAUCUGGAGGAACACCGGUGGCGAAGGCGGCAUCCUGGACCAACACUGACACUGAGGAGCGAAAGCCAGGGGAGCAAACGGGAGUUAGAAU
rnacentral:rRNA from 1 species